UGAUUAAGCAGAUGGUGAUAAGCACUC
rnacentral:piRNA from 1 species